UCAGACCCCUCCCCCCCCUAUGAUCGAUCACGUGAUUUAUGGACACUCCCAUAUGGAUCAUGGAAUUUUAUGAAAUUUUAAUUACAUAUGUAAUUGCAAGCAACAAUUUUUACCGAUUCCAUCAAAUUCUAGGACUUGAAUAUUUAUUUGUAUAUAUGUACCCACAUCCGUUCAAUUUUAACCAAUUUGUGAUAGCUUAAGUCUAAAUAUAUAUGUAUUCAUCGAUUUUUAACAAUACAUACGUAGGAACAAAAUUAUUAAUGGUUUCCUUAACAUUUUGCCAUUGUUCUCUCCGUAUUUUGUUUUAAAAGAAUGUAAAAUCCAAUCGUGAUGAAAACAUCGGAACUACAAAGAACAUCGUAAUUUUAUGGGUGUCAUGAAACUACGCACAGUUUCAUUCAAUGGUUCAGGAACUAUUAUAUAAAUAUAAUUUAUACUUAUGUAUGACUUAAUGUGACCUUGUAGUAAACAAUCUAGAUUUGUACUCUGUGCACCCAAAGUUAUCUCAGUAGUUUAAAAAUAUAGAGUUUAAAUUCGAAGCAUACAUAUUAAUUAAGUAAUGCGGGACAUUUUGAAAUGUUCAGUUAUAAUUUUAAUUUUGUCAACAGUCCACUCGAACAUUCCUCCUUCAGUUGGUGACAAAAGACCCAGGCCAAUUAUUUGCACUCGCGACAGUCUCAUGAUUUAUUUUGACUGUAGACUUUGCAUUUGUCCACGACCAAACAAAUUGGCCAAAUGUGUGAGGAAACUUUGCGAAACUCGAACAAAAAACGCUCAAUGUCCCAUGGCGGUGCUAUGGAUGGACUACAGCCAGCUCUGCCCCACAAUAUCUAAACCAGAAUGACAAACGGACGACGAUUGUCCUGGGAAUCAAUUAUGUUGCUUUGACUAUUGUAAUGAGGCGAGAUGUCAAAACCCUAUUCCAUUAGAUAUCUCGACAGGAAUUCCGAUCCAUCGUGGUUUACAGAAAAGGGCAGAGUUAUGAUGUUUAUGCAACAUAAUUAUACCAGAGAACAGUUUACAAAUAUUGAAAAUAUCCAUUCGCAUUGCUUCCCUUAUGAAACACAAUUUGACUUAAAUUAAGUAAUUUAAUAUGGGUAAUUAGUAUAGAUAAAUAAAUAUGUAUGUAAAUUCAGCGUUGAAAAAUAUUAUCAAAAAUUAAAAAUAUUAUUUAUUACGUAUCGAGUUUUAUCUCUUUCGUAAUACUACAA